UAAAUAGUCUGAUAGCCGUAAUGCAAUGGCGGAAAAUUGAUUAAUCACUUGCGUCGGAGGUAAAUAAAGGAUGUUUUGUUUACAUUGAGUUAGUAGGGGUGAGUGGGGUACCCCACCCAAAUUAAAAGUGGUAUAAUGACAGGGGCCGAGUCGAGGUAAUCGAAAAAACUGUUCAAUCACUGAAAUACCGGAGCUAGAGCCGUGUGUACGUAAAACACAUGGUAGAAGUAUACAGUAUGAUGUAAACACGAUCACAUCACCAGUGCCGAAACAGUCGAAACUCCAACCAGACAGACGACAGAC